GACAGAGGUGGCAAGCGUUGCUCGGAGUCACUGGGCUUAAAGGGCGCGUAGGCGGUCGUGCACGUCGGGGGUGAAAUCCCCGGGCUCAACCCGGGAACUGCCUUCGAUACGGCGCGGCUAGAGUGCGGGAGGGGAGAGUGGAACUCCUGGUGGAGCGGUGAAAUGCGUAGAUAUCAGGAGGAACGCCGGUGGCGAAAGCGACUCUCUGGUCCGCAACUGACGCUGAGGCGCGAAAGCCAGGGGAGCAAACGGG
rnacentral:rRNA from 1 species